GAAUAAAGCAUUUUUUUCACUUUUCGUCUUUUCCACACAAAAUCUACCAAACUCUUCCUCCGCCGCCGGCCGCCGCCCUGCGUGAUCAUCCCCUUCCUCUCUUUCACGGCCGCAGCACGGCCACCUCCACCGUUGCCGUUGUACUUCUGGGCUUUCAGUGCCUAAAUCCGCGAGAGCGAGGGACCGUCGAUCUCGCCGGCUUUGGCUUCGAUUUGGGGGCGGCGGCCAUGGGGACGCCCGAGCAGAUGAAGGCGCUGUCUAUCCAGGGGCAGACCCAAGACCCGAUCACAGGUGACGGAUCAACUUGCUCGGCUGCUCAAAUAAAGGCGGAUUCUAAUUGUGCCGAAGGAACGGAAUCGCCGGUCCACCUUCCCGAGGACAUUCUUCACCGGAUACAUGCUCUCAUGCCAAUUCGAGAUGCCGCUCAAGCUGCCUGCGUGUCUCAUGCUUUUCUGCGUUCUUGGAGAUACUAUCCCAGGCUCAUCCUUUCUGUUGAUUCUUUAGGCAUAAAGGAUUAUGGAUCCAAGUAUGAUGAAUUGACAAGGGAUUUUAUUAGUAGAGUUGACCACAUUAUGCAGAAUCACUCUGGCAUGGGAGUGAAGGAAUUUAGACUAGAAAACUACCCUUGCUCCACUAUGGAUCCCAGUACUGUGGACCGCUGGGUUCAAGUUGCCAUUACACCUGGGAUUAAAGAGUUUGAUCUAUCACUGUUUGAACUCAGUGACAUAAAGUACAGCUUUCCAUGUUCUCUUUUAUCUGGGGAGAGGGGAAGCUCCAUUCAGUCUUUGAUGCUUGCUGGAUGUUCUCUUCGCUCCCUGGAACAAGCUGGUUUCAUGAGUAGCCUGACAAAUUUGGAUUUGCAUUCAGUUGACGUCACUGGCGAGGAACUAUUUUGUUUUCUGUCCAACUCUUAUGCUUUGGAGAAAAUUUCCCUUUGGAACUGCAAUAAUAUAAUUUGCUUGAAAAUACCUUGUCAGCUGCAAAAGCUUAAUUUCCUGGAAGUGCUGGAUUGCGAAAUGCUAGAGAUGAUUGACAGCAAUGCCCCGAAUCUCUCAACACUCUCCUGUUCAGGACGGCAAACACAUAUCUCGCUUGGACAUGCAUCACAAGUGAGGAAAAUAAGAUUUCGUUGUGACUAUUCAUCUAAUGCACUUGAUUAUGCUAUUACCAAACUUCCACUCAUUGCACCGAAUCUCCAAAUUCUGUAUCUGUCAAUAAUUGAUGAGACUAUCAAUAUACCAACGGCGUUUGGCAAAUUCCUACAGCUGAAGCACCUGGAGAUAAUUUUGCACGCACCAAAUUCCCUAGACUUUGACUUUUGCUGCCUGAUUUCUUUCCUUGAUGCUUCUCCUGCCUUGGAGACUUUCAUCUUGCGUAUUGGGAUGCCAACCAUUAGGCAUGAUUCGAUUGUUGAAGAUGUGAUCAGUGAUUCCUCACAUCCACUGCACCUUUCAGAAAGCUGCUAUGACAACCUAAAGAAUGUGAUGAUAACUGGCUUUUGCUCCGCGAAGAGCAUGAUUGAGCUCACAAUCCACAUUAUGGUGAAAACAAAAUCAUUGGAGUGCCUUACACUAGACACUACCCGUGGCCAUGACAGGAGGUUUGCCAACAUUGACAGAUGCUGGCCGAUGGAUGCGGAGGCGCUUGUAGAGGCAGGAAAGGCCCGCAUCGCCAUUCAGAGAUACAUUGAGGGAAGAGUGCCCGUGGCUGUGAACCUGAAGGUUAUCGAGCCGUGCAGCAAGUGCAGCUACUGAUGGACUGUAUUAUUUGAGCCUAAAUUGCCAGAGGUCGUUAAAUAGCAUUUAUCAACUUAACGGUACAAAUGAUUGACUUCUUGAGGAUUCUUCAUGAACCAUAUCCAGUUGUAGAUUGCUCAUAUCCUUUACCCCCCGCGACCUUUAUACAGGUAGGACGUUUAUGCAUAUUCAUCAUAAAGGACGUUUAUUAUCUUGAAAGUUGAGAUCAAAAUUGAACAAUGCAAUCCAUGCAUGGAUGGAUGAAACUCAUACAAUCCUUUUUUAUAAUAAACUCAUUACGAUCCUUGAGCGAGACA